ACAAACACCUUGACAUUGCAAUUAACAUAUGCAAAUAUCCCAGCCACCCUGGGGGCACCUGUCCAUCGCCAGGGUACAUCGAGUUCACAGCGCACACAGCAGAAAUGUCUGAGGCCUCUUGAAGUAUUACAUGUGAGAGGGGAGAGACUUCUAAACAGCUUGGACGCCCUUUCUUCUUUCUGGAGAUGGAUAAAAGACAUGGAGAAUUCUGUGCUGAUGAGACAGGGUUGUCAGUCAUUGCACUGUAACGAUACAGUUCAGACAAUGCCAGUGAAAACUUCCUCUGCCAGCGUGGAGGAUGUGUCUUGACAUGGAGCAGAGUGCCGCUAGCAGUGGGAGAACAGGAGCAGCUUUCCGCACCAGCCCUUGCAGGACCAAAUCCCACCCCCCCAAGUACAGCAGCACAUUAUGCAUGCCCGUGCUCCCGGCCAGGGCGGCAGCAUCCCGUGGGGGGUUGCAGGUCGCCUGUGCCAGCCGUGCCAUGUGGAUGGAGCACAAGGAGCCAGUCUCUCUGCAUGAAGCCCACAUCAGCCCAAACUCUCCGACGCCCUGUUGCUACCCUCCCUCCCUGGCCCGUUUCUCGCUGUAUGCGCGAGUCUCGCGCCCUGUGGACGGCUGGUAAUUAAAAAACCUUGGAGGGGGAUAUUA